rnacentral:rRNA from 1 species
CGCGUAGGCGGGCUUUCAAGUCGGUUGUGAAAUCCCUCAGCUCAACUGAGGAACUGCAUCCGAUACUGUUUGUCUUGAGGACGAGAGGGGAGAGUGGAACUUCUGGUGGAGCGGUGAAAUGCGUAGAUAUCAGAAGGAACGCCGGCGGCGAAAGCGACUCUCUGGCUCGUAUCUGACGCUGAGGCGCGAAAGCUUGGGUAGCAAACG